rnacentral:rRNA from 1 species
GUUUGACCUCAAAUCAGGUAGGAGUACCCGCUGAACUUAAGCAUAUCAA